AAGGGCACCACAAGAACGCGUGGAGCAUGUGGCUUAAUUUGACUCAACGCGGGAAAUCUUACCGGGUCCGGACACACUGAGGAUUGACAGACAAUCACACUAUCUUAUGUAUAUUUAUUUAUGCGUAAGUAGUGUCAAACAAAGAUGCUAGUUCUUUCAUGAUUAUGCGAUAGGUGGUGCAUGGCCGUUCUUAGUUCGUGGAGUGAUCUGUCUGCUUAAUUGCGUUUCACAAUUAAAAUACGAAUAUACGCAUAUUAUGAUUGCUUGACCCCAUAAAUUUAUUUUUAUGCGCUGCGUCUCGUAUCUUAUAUGCAUUCGUUAUUUCGAAAGCAACGAACGUGACCGUAUCCUUUUGUUAAAUGUAUAUAUACAUUUUAAAAACUAAAGGGACCGCUGUUUCUUUCUUAAACCAGAGGAAGGUUACGGCAAUAACAGGUCUGUGAUGCCCUUAGAUGUUCCGGGCUGCACACGUGCUACAAUGAUUAUUUCAGUAAGUAUCUCAUUAUAAAUAGAAUGUACUUUACGUACAUCUAAAUCCUACCUCGAAAGUAAGGUGGGUAAUCAAUUAGAAGUAAUGAUUUCCUAAAUAUUUUGUACAAAAAUAUACAGCGUAUUCAUAUCCCAUAAAGGCUCUAAGUCUGCAUGCGUGUGUAUGAUACGUAAAUAUUACUUUUAUGUAUUAUUUUUUCUGUAUGUACAAUUGUUAAUUCAUGGUGGGGACAGACCAUUGUUAAUUAUUGGUCUCGGUCUUAACUAGGAAUGCCUUGUACGGGUCUUUGGUUCAUCAAACCACCCGGAAUACGUCCCUGCCCUUUGUACACACCGCCCGUCGCUCUUACCGAUGAACUUUACUAUGAAUUUGAGGGAAAGACCUUUGAGUCGCAAACUUAAAUGAAUAGUGUGGUUUAAAGGAAAGAGAAGUCGAACAAGGCA
rnacentral:rRNA from 1 species